UACGUAGGGGGCAAGCGUUGUCCGGAUUUAUUGGGCGUAAAGAGCGUGUAGGCGGCUUUACAGGUCCGUUGUGAAAACUCGAGGCUCAACCUCGAGACGCCGGUGGAAACCGUAAAGCUAGAGUCCGGAAGAGGAGAGUGGAAUUCCUGGUGUAGCGGUGAAAUGCGCAGAUAUCAGGAAGAACACCCGUGGCGAAGGCGGCUCUCUGGGACGGUACUGACGCUGAGACGCGAAAGCGUGGGGAGCGAACCGG
rnacentral:rRNA from 1 species